GACGUAGGGCGCGAGCGUUGUCCGGAUUUAUUGGGCGUAAAGCGCGUGUAGGCGGCUUUGCAAGUCGGGUGUGAAAGCCCUCAGCUCAACUGAGGAAGUGCGCCCGAAACUGCAGAGCUUGAGUACCGGAGAGGAUGGCGGAAUUCCCCAAGUAGAGGUGAAAUUCGUAGAUAUGGGGAGGAACACCGGUGGCGAAGGCGGCCAUCUGGACGGAUACUGACGCUGAGACGCGAAAGCGUGGGGAGCAAACAGG
rnacentral:rRNA from 1 species